GCCAGCCUGGCCUCCCCGCUUCUGGUGCUUAACAGAGACAAGGCGAGAUGGGCUCAUUUGUGGCUGCAGGUCUUCCACGGCGGGCACGGUACCAAGACUGAAGAGCCUAAUUAAAAUGAAAACCCUCGUUCCUCAGGAGAGGCUAUCUUAUUUCUGAGCAGUCAAGUGUUUCUGACUGUCUUCCAAAGAAAAAUAUACAUCCAGACAUGUUAACAAAUGGAAUGCUAUGACCUCUGCAAUGGGCUUCAAAAUGAUUUAGAUAGAGGAAGAGGAUGGAGGCAUAGAGACAAGACUGGCCAUGAGCUGGUAGCUGGUAACUGUGGCAUCUGGAUGACAGGUGAGGUCAACCCCUCCAUUCUGCAACCCGAAGACCAAGACCCAAGUGCCAGGACACGUCCUGCUUUCCACCGGACCAAGAGCGUGGAGGGAAGCCCUGGCACUACACGGGCUCCAGGCUUGAAUGCCUGAACACUGCCAAAUACAAAGGGCUGGAAACUUUAAGAGCACACAGGCAAGACAGUAACUAAAAACCCUAUGAACUAA